rnacentral:precursor_RNA from 14 species
AGAUGUCUCCGGCCGUGUGACACUCCGGGCUAAGUACUAGCGCCGUAGGAGUGGGGUUUUUGGACACUCCCCCACGCCUUGGUGUUUCCCGAGGGCGUUAAUGUUGUGCCUUUAACCCCG